rnacentral:misc_RNA from 1 species
GCAAUCCUUCUCCGCCGCGCUCUCAUCAUCAUUUUCGAUACUUCUUGUCUGGAAUACAUCUUCUCUGCGCCUGUGUGGGAACGAGAACCGCGCGUAGGUUAUUUCUUGUGAACGGACCGGCGCCUGAGCUCAGGCCAGCACACAUUCUUUCAGAUACACACCUGUAUCAUUCUUUCAAAGACCUCUGUAACUAUGCUCGUGCUUCUGCUUGUCGAGGACCUUCUCCAUUAUUUGUCCUUUUCUGUUUGCUUCUUCCUCCUGAGGCUGCUAGGCUGUCCUUGUCGUCGCUUCCGUCGCGUCGGUCAUUCAUGCUUUGGCCGGUUUCUCUCUCUCUAUUAGGUGCAUCUUCAGAGACACGGCAACACGGCCGAGGCCAUCGUCUGUCGUCUUCUCCGGUCGAGACGUCUCCUUACUUUUCUGGCCUACCAGUUCGUGGGUGCGCUGGCGCCAUCCCUUUGCAUACACAUUGUCAUUUGCAAGCAGCACGUCAAGCACCGCUCGCGAACGCAGCGAUGCCACGUGACGCGCCUGCCCCAUCGUCGGCGCUGCGUCGGCGUACAGCGACAUCUGCCUUAGGAGGUGACACACGGACGCAAGAGCGCAGGCGGCCGAGGCCGAUGCGAAAGGCGUUGAGGCAUUUUCCUCUCGCUACAGCGGCACGCAGAAAGCCCUUGCUUCCGCCAGCCGCGUCGCUGCGCACGCACUUCACACGUGUGCAAGAAGCCGCCGCCGCGCUUGGUCAUGUUCUUGGUUACCUAAUUCGGCAAGUACUCUCGCUUUCUGUUCUCUUGGACCUCGCGCAGGGCGUACUCGGCCGCCUGUUUGCUCUCCUACGAUGGCUGAACGACUACCCGGCUCGUGUGCAGUUCCGUCGCACGACGCAGCGCUUCUUGUCUGUCAUGAAUACGACUGAAAGCUACACAACCUUUGUCGAAGCCGCGGCGAGUCUGGACCACUACUGCGGUGUGGCGAAGUGGGCGCAGGACGCCCCUCCACUGGAUCGCUGCAACGCAGUCGGCCUUCUUGUCGAUGCCACCGCGGCGCAGCACCUCAUCCGGACGAACAACUUGUACGCAAUGGAGACCUUUCUGUGCUCGCUGCUGAAGCGCAACGCGCACGGCCUCAUGGACGCAUCGAUAUACCGCUACUACAACAGCGCCCCGCACUGCCUCGAGGACUACACGGACAGCAUCGAGUGCCUUAUCACGGCCUAUGCGGCCGGGGCGUGGCAUGGCGAAUCUGCGGUGAGCGACAGCAGCGGCGCUGCAGCAGACCGCGCCUUGCCUCCAACAUCGGCCGCGCCCGUGUUGCGAGAUUUGCGUCCCUGCUGGGUGCGAUUGGAGGCUAGCGCCGGCGCUGAGGUGCGGCCGCCGCUGCUUGCCGGCACACCUCCGCCAGUGUGGUCGGCGACGCACUCGGGGCCAUCUGCGGCGCUGCCGGCGGUGGACGUGACGGCCAAAAUUCAGCAGGUCUGGCAAGCGCAGUUCCGGAAAACAGUGUCCGCUAUUCAAGCGCCAUGGGCAACCGCCACUGCGGCACCGAGCCGGCAGCAAAGCACAUCCGCGUCUGUGCACUGUCUCGGCAGCAGCGCCGCUUCCGCGGCAAUGCCACUCACAGACACAAGCACUGCAACGGUGCCCACUUGCGCCUCCACGCUGGCGGGUGAGAAGAGCAUCUUAUUGACGAGGGAUGACGCCGCGCCGGUAUCGCACACCUUUGCGAAGCCAAAGACGAGCGAUGACACAAAGCCCGCAUGGGAUUUUGCAAGUGUGUCGCCGCCGUUGUCGCCUCUCUUGCGCACUGAAGACACAACUUCGGGGAACGCAACUGCCUUGCUGUCUUUCGGGGCGCACAUGUCGGUGGCGCCGCCGCUCUCGGCCAACCCCAUGGCGGCAGCGCCUCCUUCACCGGAGGUGGCCCUGGCUCGGCAACUUCGCAGCUCGUGUGCGUCGCUGUGCCGCUUCCUCGACGGCUGUGCAUUGCCGUCCGCAUUGCCGCAGCAGCACCACGCACAUCAGCAGCGCUGCUCUGUGUACAAACCCGCGGUAAUCACAGUAGGGCAUCGUCUCAAGGUGCUGCGCAAGGUGCUGCACUCCUAUGGCCGAACGGCGCUGGUGCUCAGCGGCGGUUCCUCUAUGGGCACCUACCAUGCCGGCGUGGCCCGCGCGCUGCACGAGGCGGGUGUGUUGCCUGAUAUUCUCUGCGGCUCCUCGGCCGGCUCCAUCAUCGCCGCGAUGAUCUGCACCAAGUCGCCGGACGAGCUUCACGCCUUCAUGCAGUCACACGUCCUUUCGACCGAGGCGAUGCACAUGUCCCCGUUCGGCGAAGACAGUGACCUUCCUGGCAAGCUGAAGCGCUUCUUCAAGACGGGCUUCUUGAUGGAUGUGCGGUCGCUGAUGGGGUGCAUGCGGGGUCAAUGUGGCGACAUGACGUUUCUGGAGGCGUACCAGCUCAGUGGAAAGGUGCUGAAUGUGUCCGUGACACGUAGCCAGCAGGAGGGUAUGCCGUCGGAUCGGCACGUGCUGCUCAACUACGUGACGGCUCCGGAUGUUGUGAUUUGGAGUGCAGUAAGUGCCAGCUGCGCCUUGCCGGGACUCUUCACAGCCGUGCAGCUGAUCGAGAAGCCCUCCCUUGGCGGUGGCACAUUUGCGCCGUACCUGCCAGGAGAGCUGUGGUGCGACGGCAGUAUAGCUCAGGAUAUCCCACGGCGACUGCUGAUUCAGCUCUUCGGCGUCAACUACCUCAUUGUGAGUCAGGUGAACCCGUACGUGAUUCCGUUUCUGCGGCCCCCCAAAUCGCACCACAUCAUCGCAACAAGCGGCUCGUGGCUAGCGCGGCUGUGGUUUGCAUGGGUGGAUGUGUGCGGAUGGGUGUUGACCGUCUUGUUCAGCGUGCACCUCCUUCCACGUUUCGGCCGCUUCGAAAUGCUUUUUAUGCUGUUUGCGCAGUUCUACAGCGGCGACUUGACCAUCCAGCCGAUCGACUCCGUCAUGAAGGCGGUGCCGGACUACAUGAACUUGGUCAACAAUCCCUCCGCUGACUACAUCAGUUACGUGGCGUCGCGUGCGCAGAGCCGCACGUGGCCACUGGUGACAAGGAUUCGCCUUGCGACGCGUAUUGAGCGCUGCCUUCAGCGUGAGAUACGUGCCUUAGAGGCAAUGGAGCUCAGGGAGCAAACGACGUAAGCGUGCAAAAAGCGGGAGGAGCAUUCCUAUGGGUAGGCGAGGCUGACGGUUUAACGAAAAUGUUUCGGUGAUUGGCUUGGUUGUCUAUCCGUGGCGUGGCGCUCGAUCGCCCAAUGCCAUUGGAGGUUGCUUGUGUGUUUUUUUGUUUGUUUCUUGCUCCCCCCCCCUACACACAGAUACCAAAAAAAAACGCAGAUCCGAGCCCUAUCAAGCCCCUGCGCUCUGGACGCACAGCGUGGAUGCUGGUACACCAACGGUGACGCUUCUGAUCUCAUCGCGAG